CUUGCUGUAGGCAUGUAUCAGGUUUGAAUGGGACAUUCUGGUUAAACUUUUUAUGUCCUACAAUAUGUAGGAAAUAAUGUUGUGCUCAAUGGCGAUAGAAGUGUUUCUCUCUCAUUUGUCUUUGGACUGGAGGUGACCUGUUGGUUAAUAAUUGUUUGGUUGUGUUUAGGAGGUUCAUGGGUUAAGUCGAUCACGGACAGGAAGUUCAAGACAAACCGUGGAUUGAUGUUUGGACAAUGGCGUAAGGCCGAGUGGAGUGCGGUCACGAGAGAAUGUGUAUGCAGGGACACAAAGCACAAUAGCCCCAUGGCCUGUCCUAAGCUCUCAUUCACAGUCCUCAGGCCAUCAUUAUUAGAACCAGGUUUUCUAUAGCUUUGUUCUGAGAGAAAUCUUUAUUUGUAUGAAUUUUAAUUAUGAAUUUGCAACACACGGCGCAUACAGUUCACAGAACAUUUCAGAAGAACUAUGCAGAUGUUUUUAAUAAAAAAUAUAUAUAUUUGAAAA